rnacentral:misc_RNA from 1 species
GAUGAAGAACCUAGCGAAAUGCGAUACGUAGUGUGAAUUGCAGAAUUCCGUGAACCAUCAAAUCUUUGAACGCAUAUUGCGCUCGAGGCUUCGGCCGAGAGCAUGUCUGCCUCAGCGUCGGUAUUACCCCUCGCUUCUCAACCCCUGGUUGAUGCCUGCCUGCCUUUGCAGUUGGCUAGAAGCGGAUCUGGCUUUCCCAAUUGCCUUUGGUAGUUGGGUCAGCUGAAGCACAGAGGCUUGAGCAAGGACCCUUAUUGGGCUUCAACUGGAUAGGUAGAACUGGUCUUAGGACCAACUACACGAAGUUGUUGCUUGUGGUCUUUGUCUGGAGGCCAGCAGGAAACCUUUAUACCUUCGACCUGAGCUCAGGCAAGAUUACCCGCUGAACUUAAGCAUAUCAAUAAGCGGAGGA